CUUUUUUCUUUUUCUUUUUUUAAUUACCAUGUGGAUACCGAAACUCAUUAUGGAAAAAAAAAAAGAAAGAAAGAAAUCAGAGUGUCUGGGCCCCUCACUUAGUGUUGGACACCUUUUUUUCUUAUGGGGAAGGCACUGACACCAUUGCCCCAUGUUCUCUGCCACAUACACUUUGUCAAGAAACAGAGAAGUGACAAACCUCCCUAAAUCUCCAUAUGGAGCCUCUCACAAAAGUUUGUCCCACAGAACUACAAGAGCUCUGUAAAUUAUAUUACUCGUUUAUGAAACACUUAGUGCCUGCCCCUGUGACUUCAUGCUCCAAAAUCCAGCUUUCCCACUGCGUCCCUGUGGUGUCUGUUGCUCUUCUGGCCAAAAGAGGAACUGGAAGAGGACAACUGCAUGUAAAUAAAUGAGGAGCCUGUCCCCUACAGAGCGACAAAUUUAGUGAGUAGCAAUAGGUUUCGAAGCAGUAACUCUGCUACUUGCAUUAGAACUGAUCUGCCUGUUAGACCAGGUAAGAGUGAAGAAAGCAAGACCUUCUAGAAAACAUAUUGGCCUGCGUAUAAUUUUAAACACAAUUU
rnacentral:lncRNA from 1 species